rnacentral:rRNA from 1 species
GUGCCAGCAGCCGCGGUAAUACGUAGGGUGCGAGCGUUGUCCGGAAUUAUUGGGCGUAAAGAGCUCGUAGGCGGUUUGUCACGUCUGCUGUGAAAACUGGAGGCUCAACCUCCAGCCUGCAGUGGGUACGGGCAGACUAGAGUGCGGUAGGGGAGAUUGGAAUUCCUGGUGUAGCGGUGGAAUGCGCAGAUAUCAGGAGGAACACCGGUGGCGAAGGCAGAUCUCUGGGCCGUAACUGACGCUGAGGAGCGAAAGCGUGGGGAGCGAACAGGAUUAGAUACCCUGGUAGUCCACGCCGUAAACGGUGGGCGCUAGAUGUGGGGACCAUUCCACGGUUUCCGUGUCGCAGCUAACGCAUUAAGCGCCCCGCCUGGGGAGUACGGCCGCAAGGCUAAAACUCAAAGGAAUUGACGGGGGCCCGCACAAGCGGCGGAGCAUGCGGAUUAAUUCGAUGCAACGCGAAGAACCUUACCAAGGCUUGACAUACACGAGAACGGGCCAGAAAUGGUCAACUCUUUGGACACUCGUGAACAGGUGGUGCAUGGUUGUCGUCAGCUCGUGUCGUGAGAUGUUGGGUUAAGUCCCGCAACGAGCGCAACCCUCGUCCUAUGUUGCCAGCACGUAAUGGUGGGAACUCAUGGGAGACUGCCGGGGUCAACUCGGAGGAAGGUGGGGAUGACGUCAAAUCAUCAUGC